UGGGGAAUAUUGCACAAUGGGCGAAAGCCUGAUGCAGCGACGCCGCGUGAGGGAUGACGGCCUUCGGGUUGUAAACCUCUUUCAGUAGGGACGAAGCGCAAGUGACGGUACCUGCAGAAGAAGCACCGGCUAACUACGUGCCAGCAGCCGCGGUAAUACGUAGGGUGCGAGCGUUGUCCGGAAUUACUGGGCGUAAAGAGCUCGUAGGCGGUUUGUCACGUCGUCUGUGAAAUCCUAGGGCUUAACCCUGGACGUGCAGGCGAUACAGGCUGACUUGAGUACUACAGGGGAGACUGGAAUUUCUGGUGUAGCGGUGUAAUGCACAGAUAUCAGGAAGAACACCGAUGGCGAAGGCAGGUCUCUGGGUAGUAACUGACGCUGAGGAGCGAAAGCAUGGGUAGCGAACAGG
rnacentral:rRNA from 1 species